rnacentral:rRNA from 14 species
UGAAAUACCACUACUCUUAUUGUUUCCUUACUUACUUGAUUAAAUGGAACGUGUAUCAUUGCCUAGCCAUUAUACGGAUGUAUUUUUAUGUCUUAUGGUA